rnacentral:rRNA from 1 species
GACGAACGCUGGCGGCGUGCCUAAUACAUGCAAGUCGAGCGGACUGAUUAAGAGCUUGCUCUUAUGACGUUAGCGGCGGACGGGUGAGUAACACGUGGGCAACCUGCCCUGUAGAUCGGGAUAACACCGAGAUAUCGGUGCUAAUACCGGGUAAUAUCUGAGAUCACAUGAUCUUAGGUUAAAAGAUGGCUCCGGCUAUCACUACAGGAUGUGCCCGCGGGGCAUUAGCUAGUUGGUAAGGUAAUGGCUUACCAAGGCGACGAUGCGUAGCCGACCUGAGAGGGUGAUCGGCCACACUGGGACUGAGACACGGCCCAGACUCCUACGGGAGGCAGCAGUAGGGAAUCUUCCGCAAUGGACGAAAGUCUGACGGAGCAACGCCGCGUGAGUGAUGAAGGGUUUCGGCUCGUAAAGCUCUGUUGUUAGGGAAGAAACAGUACCGAACGAACUAGGUCGGUACCUUGACGGUACCUAACCAGAAAGCCACGGCUAACUACGUG